GGCCUCCCAGUGCUCACCACAGGCUGUGUUCUUCCAUUGACUCUGUAGAAGGAGGAGGCACAGCAAAUCUUCCCUAUAUACACCUCAGCCCAAGCCCUGUGUCUGGUCUGUAUUGUGAAUCGGGAGACAUGG
rnacentral:snoRNA from 1 species